AUUGAACGCUGGCGGCAUGCUUUACACAUGCAAGUCGAACGGUAACAGGUUAAGCUGACGAGUGGCGAACGGGUGAGUAAUGCAUCGGAACGUGCCCGAUCGUGGGGGAUAACGCAGCGAAAGCUGCGCUAAUACCGCAUACGAUCGGAGGAUGAAAGCGGGGGACCGUAAGGCCUCGCGCGAUCGGAGCGGCCGAUGUCAGAUUAGGUAGGUGGUGGGGUAAAGGCUCACCAAGCCAACGAUCUGUAGCUGGUCUGGGAGGACGACCAGCCACACUGGGACUGAGACACGGCCCAGACGCCUACGGGAGGCAGCAGGGGGGAAUUUUGGACAAUGGGCGAAAGCCUGAUCCAGCAAUGCCGCGUGCAGGAAGAAGGCCUUCGGGUUGUAAACUGCUUUUGUACGGAGCGAAAAGGCCCUCUCUAAUACAGUGGGCUCAUGACGGUACCGUAAGAAUAAGCACCGGCUAACUACGUGCCAGCCGCCGCGGUAA
rnacentral:rRNA from 1 species